UCUCGAUUCGUCUAGUGGUUAGGAUACCUGCUUGUCAUUAGGACUGUCCGCAGGUGGCCGGGGUUCAAUUCCCCGAUCGAGAG
rnacentral:tRNA from 1 species